UGGAUGUUCACGGCUUUCAUACAAGCAGGCGUCGUGUAAAGAUCCCAAAAUCCCUUUGACAGGGGAGCGUUUAGCCUGGGAUCUAGCCAUCACAUUAGGCCUUAUCCCUCAAAUAAGGCAAUAGGAGUACAGAGGUAGUCACUGAUUACAAAUACUACAAUACUUACGAGAUUACCCUAGACUUAAGGUAAUUAGUACGGUUGUAGUUCGACACUACACCAUAGUACUAUUUCAUUUUCCCAUUACAUUCACUUCGUGAACAUUCACACGACGCACGGUAAUGUAGAAACUAUAUUUUUGGUUAAUGACAGUCAGAUUUGGGAAAAUACACACUCUUACAAGUGCCACACACAGAUACUAGAUGCCUUGGUAGAAGGAUACGAUUAGUAGGAAACGUAUGGCUUCCUAGGAUCAUACAAAACAUUUUCAACACUUACAGUUCAUAUACAUUUUCAAUACUUACAGUUUAUAUGCAUACAAAUACUUACAUAUAAACUAAGACACUAAAAUACUUAUGAUCUCACCAGCUUUAUAGCUGAUACUUGCUUUCAAAAUAACUUGUAUCCUCAGGUCAACCAUAGACAGGUACCGAUGCAAGGUUCAGGGAAGAUGGUGCUCGUUCAAGACGCAUAUUUUAUUAUGAUUUAUUCUUUAGUGUCUAUUAUAAUUUGACAGAACACACUUGUAUUAAAAUUAUAUUAUUAAUGCAAUGGAUGAGGUUGUUGCUUGUUUACUACUUUUCAUUAUUGUGAUACUGUACAUAACGUCCUCCGCCCCAGAACAUUUCCGCCUUUCAUUGUUUUGGGGUGUGACAGAUUGGUAUGAGAGCAUUGUUUAUAGUGAAUUAAGUAUAUCAACCCAUAAAAGAUAUACAGACUAUAAAUACAAUGGGAUUAAAAAUACUCUGACCAAGAGUUUAUACUUUAAAUAAUAAAAUAUUUAAUUAAGUAUACGUGUCUGCAUUCAUACUAAAAUCAGUGUCACUAGGACAGUACAAAAGCAUUACGAUUGUUGGACAACACAAGUGGACUUAGAGACAAAUAGUCAAAACUGGGAAGAUAUAGCUUGAUCAACUAUAUUAUCCGAGGGUUGACUAGCAUGUGCCUAAGUGUAGUUGUGUGGUUGCAACAAGUCUAAAAUCUUACCAACCCUACCACAAUGAGAACAGUAGAACAUAACAUUAAACUUAAAAUACUAUAGGAGUAUUUGGUGUUACUAUAAGUACUUUAUACUUGAGAACUAAAACGGGAUCUUCAUUACUAAGUUGAUUGUUGCUAAGUGGAUACACUAAGGCUAUAUGUAAUUAGGAUGUUAUAGACUUAGAGUCUGUGAAAUUUUCACUUUACCCCUAUUCGGUGUGAAUAUUGAGUUAAGGUCAUUUAUUCGAAGGCCUAUCUUGUUUCGAUUACAUAUAACUGGUAUGUACUUCACAAAUAGCGAUGUAACUGAUGAAGAUUUUCUAAAUAAUUAUCUAGAUAGUUCGUCUAAUAAUUAUUUUCUUAACCCAAUUCUCGCGUAGAUAACAUGGCUGGACUCCAUCCCCACGGCAACCAGUACCUUCCGAAUGAGGUCAUUGCUGGAUGGUUUGAAGAAGAGCCAAAGAAUGAUCAUCCUAUCCCUAUGAAUGAUCACCAUGAUGAAGACCUUUUGGAUGAUGCUAACUCCGAACCCGAGGUUGCGAACCUACCUCAAGCAGCUCCUUUUCCGAUUCCUAACCCUCGUCCGAUUUUCAUGGCCCGAUGCCUGAGUGGGUGGAAUUCUUGGAAACAUGGAGCCAAGGACAAGAUCAGACCAUGCCAUUUAAUGGUGACCGAAGCUUCUAUGACCUGAGCAAUGGUGUCUCAGCAAACAGAAUCUUGCCAAUCUUGGUCCGCAGAGUGUCCCGAAAUGAGAUUCAGGGCAGGACAGCCCUACAUCCGAUCACAGAAGUUGUCGAUGAUGCGAGAAUGCAUACCCUCUGCACCAUUCGUUUAGAAGAUGCUCGCGAGAGAUCUGAGAGAAACCAUGAAACCCUACUACAAGCACUGGCUGAAUCACGAGCCGAAGUCAUAGAGCUCCGAGUACGCCAGAGAGUGUACGAAAGACACCUACUUGAUUUGGAACGUCAGCUGGCUGAACUGAGAGUUCACCAGAGGGAUUACCGUCACCAGUAGUAGAUGCAUUACUUUACUUUCCUUGUUUUGAAGGAAUCAUUUUUCUGUCUUUGCCUAAUGAGGCAUUUUCUAUGAAACUAUCUUGUACAGUAAGUACUUUUAGUUAGGUCCUUAUACUAUCAAGAACUAUCUUCUCUGGAUAUGAUGUAAGGCCUUUUACAAGGUCAUUUUCCUGAAUAUUACAUCGUUAAUAUCAAAGAUAUCGACAGUCAACUAAAUCCUGUGUCGUUCUUUAUUCAAGUACUCUUCUCAUACUUUCAUAAGAGUUUAUCUGAAACAUGCCUUAGUGGUGUGGAUCAUGUUAUUCGCCAACCAACGAUACCUCGGCUUGAAUGUCAAACUCCUUGAGACCAUUAUUCGAACUUACUUCCACCCAUUACUAGGACUGCAUCAUUGGGAUGUAGGUCAACCCUUCAUAAACACUCUUCCACUCAAUACUAGGACUGCAUCAUAGGGAUGUAGGUCAAACCUUCACGAACAUACUUCCAUUCCGUGUUAGGACUGCAUCAUAGGGAUGUAGGUCAAACUUUCGAGAACAUACUCUUACUCCUUACUCGAACAAUCGAAGUACAUCUAGAGUCAACCAGAAUCGCUCACAAAAUCCUUAUCUUUCGUGUUACAGAAUCAUGUUGUCAUCCGGAAACAAUCAGUCUAGCAACGAAACCCCUAUCCUCCAAAUCGACGCCGCUACAUUACAAGCUGCAGUAGCAGCUACUAUGGCAACUUUCCUUACACACAUCAACUUUGGCAACACAAGCAAGAUUGGCAAAGGAGUCAAAAAUUCUGAUGGUGGUACCAAACCGGGAAACCAACAAAUGGCAACAGUCAUGGACUUGCGAAGCCGUAAGACUGAAAGGAAGAGACGAUAUCGUCAAGCCCUAAAGGAGCGCAAGAGAUCCCAAAGACUUGCCAUGCCACAACAACAAUUGUCGCAACUCCUGCAGAACGCUUUAGGAAGCAAUUUCCAGGGUGGAGUAAUGAGGAAGGCACUCGUGUCCACAUAACACUGGCUAAACACCGCACUCCCGCCACCAAUGCUAGUACUAGCCAGUCAUGCCACCAAUGUGGUGAGAUAGGGCACUUCAAGAAGGAUUUCCCUAUAGCAAAGAACUCUGGCGCAGACAGGAAGAUUCUCAGGAUCACAGCUACAAGAGAACCUGAUUCGAACUCACGUUAAUGUAAUUUAGGCGUUUCGUUGUAACAGACUUAUGAAACAUCCAGAACUAGUGCAACUAGAGUCUUACCUUUUGCGAGAUCCUGUCGGUAUAGGGAUGCUCGUGCUACGUAUACUUGUCUUUUGUAGUAUACCUCAUUCUCAGCAAUAGUCUUGUAGUAAGUCUAAAGUAUUGUAACUCUGUUGAUGGUUGCACUGUGGUGUUUGUCUGUAACGCCUUAUGUUCAAAUCUAAUGUCUUAAAGUUUCCUUAUGACUCCGACAUUAUCAUACGACUCGAUUCAAUUUGAUCCUCAUGAAAACAGCUUCAUACGUACAUCUCUUUCUUCGAAAUCGCCUUUCGAGCGAAGACGUCAUAUCAGAACACCGAAGUACUCAUGCAUGGAGUACCUCAUAGUCCUUUUCCUUUCCGAAGAUAUCCCUGAAGUACUACUCAUGCAGUACGUCAAGUUCAAUCCAAGGAUUCAUACGGUUGAUCUAUCACUGAGGGAUGUAUACAUAAGGGUAAUAUAUAAUCAAGGUUCUACAGGUUUAGAAUUGAUGGUUCCACUUUAACUUCUUUUUCCCUGAUGGGAUGUGAGCUUAAAGAAGAAUCAGUUAUUCGACUACCUUUUCAAUCUUAAUUAUAUACGACUCGUAUACGCGAGAUGGUGAUUGUGAAACCAAGUAUGAAUCCUACAUAUGAACUUCAGGACGAAGAACUGCCCAAGACUACGAGUAUCGCAUCGUCAUGUGAACAAAAUUAGAACCCAGUACGACUCCUGUAAACAGAUCGCCCUACCGUCUAAACACCUACGGAGAUACAAGAACAACCCGGACAACUUAGCGAACUACACAAAAAUAGAAUUAGAAGACUAGGCUUCUCACCCUGGAGAACUCUGGUGUUAUUCUUCUAGAGACUGGCGGAUUGCAUCGUAUGUUCCUCGGCUAUCGAGGACUCCGUCAAGAUUUCCAUUAGAAAUCGUUAUCUCUGCAUCGCAUAGAUGAAUUGGUUGAGCAAACACAAGGAAAGAAUUACUUGCAGAAAUGGACGUGAGAUCCGAAUAUCACCAGUUCGAGUGUUAGGAAAGGAUGUCCGAGAGACUACCUUCCGAACUCGAUGCGGACACUUCGAGUCCGUAGUGAUACCCCUCGGAUAGGACCAAUACGCCCUAGUAUUCAUGAGUUUAAUGAAUAGGAUCCGUCUUUCUUACUUUGAUCAGUUCGUUAUUUCUCCAUGUGAUGACUUACUUAUCUACCCUCGUAGUAAGAAGGAACCCGUGGAAACAUUACCCUCGGAGAUACUUUUCGAAAAGUUCUCUGAACAAGAGUUUUGGAAUUGAAGAGUCAAAAUUUCCUAAGACACUAUUAGUGAUGUGGAAAUUCUUGAGUACUCUGGCAAUUUAUCCGAAACCGUUGGGAAUUGGUCGACACCGAAGACACCGACAGAAAUUCACCAAAUUCUAGGUCUUACAGACCUACUGUCAUAGUUCAUCCAGAAAUCCUCGCAAAUCACAGAAAACCAUACGACUUUUAGCCAGCAAGGGGUGGCCCUUGACUGGGAAGUUAAGCAAGAGAAGGAGCCUUUGGAAUUCCAAGUGAGAGACCAAAUUCUUUAGGAAGUCUCACUCUGGGAAUGGCUUAAUAUGCUUCGCAUCGCGUGAAAAGCUAAAUCCAAGAUAGUCAGGAUCUCCAAGAUUCUUACCAGAAUCGGUCUUGUACCUCGUAAACUAGGCCUACUCCGCGAACUCAGUAACGUACAUUAUACCCUUCGCGUCUCGAUUAUGAAACCAUACCUUUCCAUUAGGACUCUCGUAAGCCCACUCGACGAGAUCGGGAUUAACGAGAUCCUCGCCUUCGUAUUAGAACCGUAGUGACCCUCGACCGAGUGGUCAAGCGGACGAAGCAGCGCCGCCUCCCUAUAGUGAAGGUUCGUUGGGAUACUAACCGCGGACACGAUUUUACCUAGGAGCGCGAGAACCAUUCGAUUAGGAAGUUUCCACCUCAUGACUCGAUCAUUCAUACCUACUUCCUUACCUAAAUUCUAAUUUCGGGACGAAAUUCCCUUUAACAAGGGGAUGAUGUGACAACCCGAAAUUUCCAUUCUGUACAAACCAUAUCAAGUCAAUAGAAGUUAGAACAGUUACAGUGAAGUUCCAGACUUUUGGGUAUAAGUUUGACAGUUUUUCAGGAUUUACACUUAAGGAGAUAUCAGGAGAGUGGAUGCACUAGGGUUUUGUGCAACACUGUUAUUCCAAAACUCUAUCAUAUUAGAGUUCAUUUCAGGAAUAAAAUAUUUCUGCCAAAAAUCCCAGGACUAUAUAAAGAAUUCUAAACCAUAUUUAUUCAUUAGUUACAUUUCCAACUAGAGAAAGUCGAAUUCUCUCUCAAUUCGGACUUUNGUACUUCUAUCUAGUGGUGUUUUAAAGCUUCUUAUAUGCUUAAUACACUAGAAAUCAUAGGAAAACACUAAGAUCUGAGAGUUUACCGCCCAAGAACACCUUGGGGAGUAAACUCUUAUAAAAGGGCCAAACUGUGCCCAAUGCCCCUCAAAGCCUUGGAACUCAACCUAGAUCUACCAUGACAUGUUUAGGCCACAAAUUCAUUUAGAAACAAAGGCUAGAAGUNAGUGAGUUCACGGCCAAGGAUGUUCUUGGGCAGUGAACUCUAUUUUAGGUGCCAAAAGCACCCUAAAAGCCUUCAUUAAACCAAGAGAUUAGUUUAGACAUGUACCCUAAUGAGUUUAGGACUAGCAAACACCCUUAGAACACCAAGAGUAAGGUGUUCACGGCCCAAGAAGUUCCAGGGCCGUGAACUCCAAACAAUAGUGCCAAAUGGUGCUAUAAACUCUUCUAAAGCCUUGUACACUAGCAUAGUUUAGUUCCUAGUUGAUUUAGGGACUUGAAAACACGAAGAAAACCCAUCCAAGGGAGAUUACAGCCGUAAUCUCCAUGGGAUUUAGUCCCAGGGCCGUAAUCUCCAUGGGAUUUUGUCCUAGGGCCGUGAACUUCAUGGUGUAGUUUUCCUUGAGCCCUACACACAAUAGCUUCCCUUACAAACACUGAGAUGCAAUCCUAGAGGCUAAUAACACUUGAUAAAGGUGUUUAGCAUGUCCUAGGGUUUCUUGACUUGUUUACUAGUUGUUUAUAGACUAAUUUGUUACAUAUAUGUGAUAUUAUAUGUUAACUAGGAUCAUAAAGUGUGUUCAAGACUUCACUUGACACCUAGCAGUCCUACCUCUUCAGUUCAUCCGUAUCACCCACAACAGGUGAGUUCGUACCCCUUAAUCAAUUAUUUAAAUGUUUUUAAAUGUUUAUGGGGGUACAAGUAGAAUCAUGCUAGUUAUUAUAUCAAUCACAUGUGAUUAAUAAGCAGCAUAUAAAUGAUUUGCUACACAUUAGCUGUUUUACCAAACAGUUGUUAUUCAAAGGAUUUUCAUAUACGUUUUAUAUGUUUAAAACUCCUGAUUUAAUUCUUCAUUAUACACUGUAUGUUUCAUUUCAAACUCAUUUAUAAUUGUGUUUCAAACAAAUGUUUCUUUGUAUUUAAAACUGUUUUGUUAGAUAAAUACUUCCAACUUGUUUUAUAAAUUGAUAUCAAGUCAAUUUUUUCUUAGAUAGUAAUCAUGUUCAAAAUGUUUUACAAAACUUAUUUUAUUCUUUGAUAUUGCCAAAUGCAUGUCUAUAUAUGUAUGGUUAUAUAAGAAAUGUUUAAAGAACUUAGGAAGGCUAUUCACCCUAUUUCCUUUUCGCGCUUGAGAUGUGGUCUGGUGGGAUAUCGGGUAUCCGUCCGAAGGUCGUUUAAAUAUUAGUUAUAUAUCAUGUGUACAUAUAUAGUCAUAAAGGUUCUUCCAGUUCAGUUCAAUACCCUUGGGUAGCAAGGGUACACAUCCAUGUUCAUACGUACCAGUUACAUUACUAGUAAGCUACCGUAUGGGUAGUUUAGGAAGAUACUAGGACUAUUACUAGAACGUGAUAUCAUACAAUGAGUCAUUUCAUUCAUGAGUCAAUACUUGCUAGGUAGAGAGAACAUACAUUACAGCUAGUACACACAGUACAUUGCUAUACAUGCUAGAUAGAAAGAGAACACACAUUACAGCUAGCACAUGCAGAACAUUAUAGUACAUUACUAUACUAUUACAUAUAUAUGUUUUACAUGAUUACGCUUACAUGAGUACGUUUACACAUAUACGUUUACAUGAGUGCGGUUACAUAUACUUUGAUAAGACAGACAUCACUAGGUGCUAUAGCAUAGAACAAGUUCAGGAUCUAACUAUGUCGAUGAAUCACAACGCAUUGUGGUAAUUAUAUCGGGUAUACAUGAUCAUAGUAAUGUGGAUGUUCACGGCUUGCAUACAGGCAGGGGGGGGGUGAAGGNGGAUCUAGCCAUCACAUUAGGCCUUAUCCCUCAAAUAAGGCAAUAGGAGUACAAAGGUAGUCACUUAUUACAAAUACUACAGUACUUACGAAAUUACCCUAGACUUAAGGUAAUUAGUACGGUUGUAGUUCCACACUACACCAUAGUACUAUUUCAUUUUCCCAUUACAUUCACUUCGUGAACAUUCACACGACGCACGGUAAUGUAGAAACUAUAUUUUUGGUUAAUGAUAGUCAGAUUUUGGAAAAUACACACUCUUACAAGAGCCACACACACAGAUACUAGAUGCCUUGGUAGAAGGAUACGAUUAGUAUGAAACAUAGGGCUUCCUAGGAUCAUAC
rnacentral:lncRNA from 1 species